rnacentral:piRNA from 1 species
CUCUGAAUGGGCUGAUUGAAAUU